CUUUUCAAAGGAGUAGAUUACGAUUAUGCUGAUGACAUUUAAAAAAAUUUGAAAGAACUUCAGCUCAUUCUUUUCUUCCUUCCAACUUUGUUUCUUCAUAAUUCUCCUUAAAAUGCAUAUUUUUAAAUGACAUUUCGCAGAAAUAGUGUAGAUUACGUAAUGUUGAUGUUUCAAGCAUAUAAAUCUGAAGAGAAAAAGUGAAAAAUGAUAAAGUCACACGGAUAUUAGCGGUAACAACGUCAGGACGAUGUAGAGAAAGUACAAUCCGAAACUUCUCUAAUAUUGAAAUUUAAAAAAAAAGAAAAA